CCUACGGGAGGCAGCAGUGGGGAAUAUUGGACAAUGGGCGAAAGCCUGAUCCAGCCAUGCCGCGUGUGUGAAGAAGGUCUUCGGAUUGUAAGGCACUUUAAGUUGGGAGGAAGGGCAGUAAAUUAAUACUUUGCUGUUUUGACGUUACCGACAGAAUAAGCACCGGCUAACUCUGUGCCAGCAGCCGCGGUAAUACAGAGGGUGCAAGCGUUAAUCGGAAUUACUGGGCGUAAAGCGCGCGUAGGUGGUUUGUUAAGUUGAAUGUGAAAUCCCCGGGCUCAACCUGGGAACUGCAUCCAAAACUGGCAAGCUAGAGUAUGGUAGAGGGUGGUGGAAUUUCCUGUGUAGCGGUGAAGUGCGUAGAUAUAGGAAGGAACACCAGUGGCGAAGGCGACCACCUGGACUGAUACUGACACUGAGGUGCGAAAGCGUGGGGAGCAAAACAGGAUUAGAUACCCUGGUAGUCCACGCCGUAAACGAUGUCAACUAGCCGUUGGGAGCCUUGAGCUCUUAGUGGCGCAGCUAACGCAUUAAGUUGACCGCCUGGGGAGUACGGCCGCAAGGUUAAAACUCAAAAUGAAAUUGAACGGCGNGAGAGAGACGAGACGACGACGAGGGAGGAGG
rnacentral:rRNA from 1 species